CACCACACACUGGGGAGCCCCCUCUACCAGAGUCAGGGAGCAGCGUUGGGCUUUUGGUACAGAGGCACUGGUAAUCGAUUACAACCUGUCUGUAAUCGAUUACACGGGCACAUAAAUCAUAAACUGGGGAGCUCCCUCUACCAGAGCCAGGGAGCAGCGUUGGACUUUUGGUACACAGGCACUGGUAAUCUAUUACAACCUGUCUGUAAUCGAUUACAUGGGCACAUAAAUCACAAAGUCCCUCUUCCUCCAACUCUUCAAUGGCGG
rnacentral:lncRNA from 1 species